UACGUAGGGUGCAAGCGUUAUCCGGAAUUAUUGGGCGUAAAGAGCUCGUAGGCGGUUUGUCGCGUCUGCUGUGAAAACUGGAGGCUCAACCUCCAGCCUGCAGUGGGUACGGGCAGACUAGAGGUAGGUAGGGGAGAAUGGAAUUCCCGGUGUAGCGGUGAAAUGCGCAGAUAUCGGGAGGAACACCGGUGGCGAAGGCGACUACCUGGACAGAAACUGACGCUGAGGCACGAAAUCUAGGGGAGCAAACAGG
rnacentral:rRNA from 1 species